UACGUAGGGACCAAGCGUUGCUCGGAAUCACUGGGCGUAAAGCGCACGUAGGCGGGUCGUUAAGUCAGGGGUGAAAUCCCGGAGCUCAACUCCGGAACUGCCUUUGAUACUGGCGAUCUUGAGUUCGAGAGAGGUGAGUGGAACUGCGAGUGUAGAGGUGAAAUUCGUAGAUAUUCGCAAGAACACCAGUGGCGAAGGCGGCUCACUGGCUCGAUACUGACGCUGAGACGCGAAAGCGUGGGAGGCAAACAGG
rnacentral:rRNA from 1 species